GAUGAACGCUGGCGGCGUGCUUAACACAUGCAAGUCGAACGAGAAGUGAAGACGGAACCCUUCGGGCGGAAGGCUUUAUUUCGAGUGGCGGACGGGUGAGUAACGCGUGGGUAACCUGCCUCAUACAGGGGGAUAACAGUUGGAAACGACUGUUAAUACCGCAUAAGACCACCGCACCGCAUGGUGCGGGGGUAAAAACUCCGGUGGUAUGAGAUGGACCCGCGUUCGAUUAGCCAGUUGGCGGGGUAACGGCCCACCAAAGCGACGAUCGAUAGCCGAUCUGAGAGGAUGACCGGCCACAUUGGGACUGAGACACGGCCCAAACUCCUACGGGAGGCAGCAGUGGGGAAUAUUGCACAAUGGGGGAAACCCUGAUGCAGCGACGCCGCGUGAGUGAAGAAGUAUUUCGGUAUGUAAAGCUCUAUCAGCAGGGAAGAAAAUGACGGUACCUGAGGAAGAAGCCCCGGCUAACUACGUG
rnacentral:rRNA from 1 species